GCUCGGGUCGAUGUAGGAGGACGAGGGGAGGAGCUCGCGAGGCCCGACACCGGUAAUGGAGCGGAGGCGGCUGGAUCUGGCGAUUCUGGAGGGGCUGGCGACGAGCGGCUCCAUGGGCGGCGACCUGCGGGGUUCAAGCGGCGGCUGAAGGUAUGAGCGAUCUGGUUUCCUCUUUUGUUGUUCUAUACGAGGAUGAUCCAGAUGCCUUUUGGUGUUUUGAGAUGCUACUGAGAAGGAUGCGUGAAAAUUUCCACCUCGAGGGACCGACAGGAGUUAUGAAGCGGUUGGAAGCAUUGUGGAAGAUCAUGGAAUUGACAUAUACGGAACUAAUAAACUGGUAAGGAUCAAACAGGCA